AGCACUCACACUCCCAUCCUCAAAUUUCUUCUUCUUAUGGUUUUAAAUUCCCCUGAGGCUUUCUCAGAAAGUCAUCAGUGUAUUGUAAUUUAGAAACGAGUGCAGAAACCUGCUGUGUCUCCAAGGGUUAACACCCUCUCCUGGACCUGUUUGCUUACAAACCGUCACCUCCUUUCCAUCCACUCAUUCCCCAGCCCCUGUCCACCCACCACGCUGUCCCCUUUCCUGUGCAAUGUGAUACUUUCCCAGAACACUCUAUUCAUGUUGACUGUCGUGAAGGUGUGCCAAAGGCACUCACUGCUCUAGAUGAUGAUGAGGUGAACUCUGAUUCUAGAUGUGGAUCCAAGAACUAACUUUUUAGUUCUAGGUUUUAUGUCCCCUCCCCCAUAGAUGCUAUAUAUCACCACCAGACUGGGACAGAUAUGUUCCCGUUGAGAAAUCCCUAUGAUAUUUGUUAUGGAAGUCCAAUCUGAUUGACACAAGUGGCUCCAAGCAUUGAAGUAUUCUAUUUCCUGAUCUCAGUAAGAGAAGCCACAGCAUGUGUUCGCAUGAGAUAUGGACAGCUUUUCUUCCUCUCUUCUCCCUCUUUGUUUCCCUCUUUUCUUUCUAUUAAAAUGUGGCUGGCUCCUGCCCCCUUUCAGCUCUCUACUUGGCACAGUUGGUGCUAUUAACGUGUUGAGAAACACAGAUGCCGUCUCCUGGUAUUCAGGAGCAAUGGAGCCUCUACGGUCUUUCUCCUUCUCCCUCUUCUCUCCCGCUAAAUCGAUAGUUCAUGGUUGCCUUCCCGUUGUUCUGCUCACAUUUGUUUCCGCGCCUCACACUUUUAGUUCAUUAGGCAAACACAGUGCAGAUGAUAAAUAGCCACUGGGAAAAUAACAUGUUAGAAAAAAAAGUACAACAAAGUGUUCACAGAAGUGGAUGUCAUAGAGCCAUUGUGUUCGGAGGCGAACAAUUUAAGGAUCCUUUGUGCUAUGGAAAAAGCAUCUGUUGCAGGGAGAGCCUCAGGAAAACACCAUCCCCACCUGAUAUUGAGAUGUUAACAGCAAGCAGAAAUAAAAGAUUCAAUGUACGCUUGGCCAGAGUCCUGUAGUCUUCCUACACAAUCCUGUAAUACCCCAUAUGUGCUUCUCAGAGUGGCACUGGGUACAGGGUCCCUGUGCCUGUGGCAUCCUCUUUGAAAUAAGGGACUUCUAGCUUCGUUUGCCCAUCAUGUGGGUCAUAACUUUCAGUGCACAUUUGCUGUACUGAAUUACAUAAGAGAUGUCUAGUGGAUCUUUUUUUUAAAAAUGAAGCUAGUCAACGUAUUUCCUUAAACACUGGAAAAGCUGUAUUUUGACUCCCCCUCCCUCCCGCUUACAUACCAAGAUGUGCCACUUAAUAAUAUGUUUCUCCCAGUUAAACUGUGUUGUGCAUGGGAUUCUUGGAAGAACAGAGGCACUUGAAAUGAGGCUGAGGACAGAAGUGGCUAAUUUCUGAAUUUCACUGCCCAAACCACUAGAGAUACAUCCUUUCGCUUCAGGAGACAGAAGCAUUACUUCAGGAACACAAAAGGCGAAAGCGUGUGCGAACAGGCAGCUACCUCUCUUGACUUAAGUACAGUGCUAUGGCAGAGUCCUUACUGCAAACUGCGAGUGUGUUCAGUUGUUCCCUGAUUUGUCCUGUCUGCGUUCCACCUGUUCAUCAUUAUCUCUGUCCAUGGAGCCAGUUUAAAAUUUCAAGGUUGAAAUCUCCAGUCCACGGCCUGUCUAUAACACCUCCCUUGGCCCUCACCCCGGCUCUGUUUCUCCUGGUUCUCUGUUUUGCACAUUGGAGGAGCUAUAGAGCUCAGUGUGUUGGGAAACAGAUCCCACACUUUCUCCCUCUUCUGAAACCCAAGGACGAUGCUUCUUAAGGUAACAGGAAGCACUCUGGGAACGGCUUCUCUGAGCUCCUGCCGUGGGUGAACAAUAGACCAUACCACAAAUCACCCUACGCCUGUGGGCCAAGCUUUUAUCAUACCUCUUCUCAGGCUGAAGAGAAUUAUCUCUUAUUUUCAGAAUGAGUAGAUGGAAAUAAUUGACGGCAAAGAACUUCCCUGAGGCAGCGUACCGUAGAGCAACCUGGUAACGAAGCAUGUGGAAACCAACAUUCCGGAGUGUUAAUCAUUCACCAAACAGUGGGACUCAGCUUAGUACUGUAUUUAAAGGGUUUUAAAUUAAUAAUCCACCACGAGGAUCAGUGCAAGAAGACAUGCGAUGGAAACUUACUACAGUCAAGUGGGGAAAGCGGCUCAACCAAAACUCAGAUGGCUCCCUACCUCAAAGCAGAGAAACACAUUCUUAAGCUGACAUGUGAGGAAAAAAGGCUUGGGGGAAAAUCAAAGGUACAAGGAAACCCAAAGACCAGAAACAGAGCCUGGGCCUUGUGCAUCCUUCAGAAACAAAAGGAGCAGGUAGCCCACAGUUCCAGCAGCCAGGAAGGGAAGUAGAGAAGGGAAGGAGACUUCGAACUCUCCAGAACAACUUGUUGGGGGGUAUUGGCAUUUGGCAGGAUGGUAAUUCUGCGGCCACACUUUCUCCCUUUUACACUUCACUCUUUCAGGCACUUCUACAAACCACUCAAGUGUCUCUCUCAAUUUUAUGGAAACCCAUUGUGAGUCCGAUGCCCCAUAAUUCACUUUUCCUCCACUUCUCUGCUUGUAACACGUUGCUUCCUGUAGAGAAGGGACCAUUGAAUUUUCAAAUAGCACACGCAAAAAAUUACACAUUUCAACUGAAAAUGUAUUUUUUUAAACCAACUGUCAAAAAUCCAUUUUUAGGAAAUCAAUUCCACACCUGAUUUCUUACAACAGAGUAGAGAGACUUAUCAAGUGGCUCUGGGGGAGUGAGUAUGUGAGAGGUGCUUUCUCAUUUUUAGACUAGGCCUUCUUCCACUAUCUUUAUUGUGCCUCCUUUUGUCUUCCCUGAAUAUAGGCUACUUUUAGCUUAGACCAGCUCUUUGCACA